rnacentral:rRNA from 1 species
AACGAACGCUGGCGGCAUGCCUAACACAUGCAAGUCGAACGAGACCUUCGGGUCUAGUGGCGCACGGGUGCGUAACGCGUGGGAACCUGCCCUUAGGUUCGGAAUAACUCCCCGAAAGGGGUGCUAAUACCGGAUAAUGUCUUCGGACCAAAGAUUUAUCGCCUUUGGAUGGGCCCGCGUUGGAUUAGCUAGUUGGUAGGGUAAAAGCCUACCAAGGCGACGAUCCAUAGCUGGUCUGAGAGGAUGAUCAGCCACACUGGGACUGAGACACGGCCCAGACUCCUACGGGAGGCAGCAGUGGGGAAUAUUGGACAAUGGGCGAAAGCCUGAUCCAGCAAUGCCGCGUGAGUGAUGAAGGCCUUAGGGUUGUAAAGCUCUUUUACCCGGGAUGAUAAUGACGGUACCGGGAGAAUAAGCUCCGGCUAACUCCGU